CUUGCUUUACAUCUCCGUCAUGGCAGGGUGAGUCGACCCCUAAGGCGAGGCCGAAAGGCGUAGUCGAUGGGAAACAGGUUAAUAUUCCUGUACUUGGUGUUACUGCGAAGGGGGGACGGAGAAGGCUAUGUUGGCCGGGCGACGGUUG
rnacentral:rRNA from 1 species